AAAUGCUGUUUGAACAAAUGUAAGCACUAAAAUGUUUAAAAUACAUAAUACAGUAUUCUAGCAUAAUUUUUAAAAUUCUUAAAAUAUUGUGGUUAGUAAAUAUUAAGGUGUAUAGUGUUAGUAAAUAUUAAAGUGACUGCUGAUGGAUCCUCAGAGACGACAUCAGAGUACUAAGGGUUAGGACUAAGCUCUUCAAAUAUGAUUACACAAGUUGAAACUUAAGAUACUGUGGAAGUUUCAUCAAAAUCAUAACAUUGUUAGGAAUU